AUGCACCUGUCAAUAUAUGAGGUCUUACUCGUCUUUCUAGUGAGAUUUCGAGAUAUGGUGCAUGCAGGAAAAGCUGUUUUACAGCAGCAACCAGACAACUGUAGAGAUAAAUCUACAGGUGAGUGGUCUGAAAUCUGAAAACCAUUUGUCCCCUGAUUCUAUGUCACAUCU